GACGAACGCUGGCGGCGUGCUUAACACAUGCAAGUCGAACGGUAAGGCCCUUCGGGGUACACGAGUGGCGAACGGGUGAGUAACACGUGGGUGAUCUGCCCUGCACUUCGGGAGAAGCCUGGGAAACUGGGUCUAAUACCGGAUAGGACCACUGCCUGCAUGGGUGGUGGUGGAAAGCUUUUGCGGUGUGGGAUGGGCCCGCGGCCUAUCAGCUUGUUGGUGGGGUGAUGGCUUACCAAGGCGACGACGGGUAGCCGGCCUGAGAGGGUGACCGGCCACACUGGGACUGAGAUACGGCCCAGACUCCUACGGGAGGCAGCAGUGGGGAAUAUUGCACAAUGGGCGCAAGCCUGAUGCAGCGACGCCGCGUGAGGGAUGACGGCCUUCGGGUUGUAAACCUCUUUCAGCACCGACGAAGCGCAAGUGACGGUAGGUGCAGAAGAAGGACCGGCCAACUACGUGCCAGCCGCCGCGGUAA
rnacentral:rRNA from 1 species